rnacentral:miRNA from 1 species
UUAGGUUGAUGCAAAAGUAAUUGUGGUUUUUGCCAUUAAAAGUAAUUGGCAAAAACCACAAUAACUUUUGCACCAACCUAAUAA